CCCUUAGAUGUCCUGGGCCGCACGCGCGCUACACUGAGUGUCUGAGAUACGAGUCUGCCUGGUCCGGCAAGGUCGAGGUAAUCGCUAAAAGACACAUCAUGCUUGGGAUAGAUUAUUGCAAAUAUUAAUCUUGAACGAGGAAUUCCUAGUAAGCGCAAGUCAACAGCUUGCGUUGAUUACGUCCCUGCCCUUUGUACACACCGCCCGUCGCUACUACUGAUUGGAUGUUUAAGCGAGGUUCUCGAACUGCUAGCGACUUAGCUUCGGUGAGGUCGCAGUGUGGGAAGUGAACCUAGCUUUGGUGUCUAGAGGAAGUAAAAGUCGUAACA
rnacentral:rRNA from 1 species